AGAGUUUGAUCCUGGCUCAGGACGAACGCUGGCGGUGUGCUUCACACAUGCAAGUCGAGCGAAUGAAGAAGGUAGCUUGCUACUUUUGGAUUUAGCGGCGGACGGGUGAGUAAUAUAUAGGAAUCUGCCCUAGAGCGGGGAACAACAGACCGAAAGGUUUGCUAAUGCCCCAUAGGUACGCAGUCUUCGGAUUGUUUAUUAAAGGAGUAAUCCACUCUAGGAUGAGCCUGUAUCCGAUUAGCUAGUUGGCGGGGUAAAGGCCCACCAAGGCUACGAUCGGUAGUUGGUCUGAGAGGAUGAUCAGCCACAAUGGGACUGAGACACGGCCCAUACUCCUACGGGAGGCAGCAGUGGGGAAUUUUACACAAUGGGGGAAACCCUGAUGUAGCGACACCGCGUGAACGAAGAAGCCUUUUGGGGUGUAAAGUUCUGUCGGCUGGAACGAAAAAAAUGACGGUACCAGCAAAGGAAGCAUCGGCUAACUACGUGCCAGCAGCCGCGGUAAGACGUAGGAUGCAAGCGUUGUCCGGAUUUAUUGGGCGUAAAGAGUUCGUAGGCGGUUAUUUAAGUCUGGUGUUAAAUACUGUGGCCCAACCGCAGAACUGCAUUGGAUACUGGAUGACUUGAGUGCGGUAGAGGCGAGUGGAAUUCCCAGUGUAGCGGUGAAAUGCGUAGA
rnacentral:rRNA from 1 species